CAAGAACACAAGACAAAUCUGUUGUAUGAUAUUAAGCAUUUAAUUUGCUCUUUGGGAUUCAAAUUCACUUCAGGACAUCAAAGUGUCAGAGGUUCUUCCAGCCUUACAGAAGACCCGAGCCAUCAUAUCCUGGCAAAUUAAAAUCAAACAACAUGGCGGCAGAGAAAGCCGCAGCAGAAGAACCAAUGGCAACUCUACGGUUACCACUAACAUUAACAAUUGUAACAGUUGUAGUAGUAGCUUAUGCAUUUAUGUCAGGAGUAGGUGAAGGAGUAGUCGGAGCAGCAGCUGGAGCAGCAGCUGCGGUAGGCAUUUUGCAUUCACUGUGGGAAGAAGAAGAAAGAACAGAACUACUAGCAGUAGCAGUAACAGGAGUAACAGGAGGCAUAGCAGGAAUAGCAGCAGCAAUGUUGCGAUCAAUGGUAGGAGAACGUUCACUAACAGGAGCAGCAAUAGUUGGAGCCAUAGCAGGAGCUGCAAUAGUUGCAAUAGCAAAAACACAGUUACAAUGGGUUAUAAAAAUAAUAAAGCAUUUAAUAGUUGCAUUGAAACUGUUUGUAGGAGCGUGUGUAGUAACAACAGCAGUAACUCUAUUGAAAUGGGCAAUAAAUACAAUAAAAUGGGUAAAAGAUCAAAUAAAGUUGGCAGCAUCCCAAGUAAAAGCAGCAGCACAAUGGAUUAUAGAAGCAGCAAAAAAAGCAUUCAACACAUUAGCAUCAUUUGGAGCAUCAGGAUUAGCACUAACAGCAGCAGGAGUAAUAGCAUCAGUAGCAUUAGCAUCAGCAGCAGCAUCAGGAUU